UUAACUAUUAUAUAGUACUCAGACAUCACUAAACAAACGAGUUUGGGUCCUCUGGCAGGCGCAGUCAGCCGGAGCCGACGCCUCGAGAGGCGGCCUGCCAAAGCAACAAAGGUAUGUUAUACACGGUUUGGGAAUUACCCAUUUCAAAAAACGGGGCGUUCUUUAAUGAUCCUUCCGCAGGUUCACCUACGGAAA
rnacentral:misc_RNA from 1 species